GCAAACACAAAUUUUGUUGAUACUGAUUUCAUUUGAUUGCUAACAACCCUGUAGUGUCUUGCUAUUUGAAUUUGAUUAAAUUUAAUAAUUUCCCACAAAAGAUGAUGCAUACAUUUAAUUAGGUCAGAAAAAACUGGCCUUGAAGGUAGCGGAGCCUGGCUCGCAGCUCUGAGACGGUCAUCUUCCCGCAGUGAGAACAUGACUCGUCCACGAAAGCCACCUCAGCGUGCUUAACGCCCAGACACGUGAGGCAGCGAUCGUGACCAUAACCCGGUGCCAGGUAACGACCGCAUCCAGAAACGCACGGGUGAAACGGCAUCCUUAUAAGGACGAUCCGUCGUCUUUAUAAAGACGCACCCGUGGAGCUCUUUUAGAAGAAAUUCGCUCUCAGGAAAUGCUCUUUUGGUGCUGAGGCGCACAGGGGAGCUGGCCGCUUGCAACACGACAGGGGGUAGUGCAGCCUGAAGUGUGCAAUCCACUCGACGCUGGAACGACCGCCGCUGAAACGCCGUCUCGCCAACACAGAAAGCUUCCCAGAGCAUGCUGAACUCGCAGUUCACGUCGACAGUUGAGGUAUAUAUCUCUUCCUAAUGGGGUGCUGCAGAUUUUAGGGGUCACUAAAGAAGACGAAGGCUUGUACCGCUGCUUGGCCUUCAACUCUGCCCGCACGCGCUUCAGCCAAGAUGCUUCUCUCACAGUUAGCCCAGGUGCGUCUCAGGAGAGUGAGGUGGUGAUUGUGGCUCCAC
ensembl:lncRNA